ACAGGUUUCGGAGUGAUAUGUAAGAGCCUGUAUAGCACUUUCGAAGUCGUUAUAAAUUGAAUAAUUGCCAACCUACAGUGUGAUAAUUAAUGCAAAGGCCUAAUAAAUUCUAUACUGAAGACAGAAUGGUCUUUGGAUAGUUUUCAUCUCAUUUUGAGAUGGAAGCGAGGAAUUUGCAAUACCGAUGUCACAGAGGGUGUAUCAUUGUUGAGGAUUCGUGAUCCAUCUGUGUAUACCCAUAUGCCUGUUGUAUCUGGGUGAAGGUUGUGCACUGCAGACGUAAAAGAAGAAACUCCCGCUUCCUUUGCUGCUGUUCUGGGAGUAUCAUUUAUAAGAACGAGCGACGGGAAGGCGCAGCAAACAGUCAGAGAGCUGCCAUUAUGUUGGGUGAAACUGAGGGAGUUACGAACCUUCACCAAGCAACGAGAAGAUGAAUUAAUGAACGAAUCUUGAAGAAGCUGUACCCGACUCCAGUUUUCUUCCCUGGAGACGAUCUUCCACAAACUUGGAAUGACAGCUCGGGUCAUCUGCCAACCAAAGAAUCGUGUUGAAGGAGACAGACUGAAAAAAAAAAGUCCUGAGACGUCACUUUUUGAUCUACCUACCUGAUUAAUUGUAGGCAACAGCAGGCAACUACCCCUCAUCUUUGCAGUGGUAAAGAACCUGCGUUCCUGUCAUCUGGACUGACUAUUCAGUUGUUGGGUUGUCACUCAACACCUGUGACCCUCCCUCCCCCCCACAUCAUCAGUAACGGCUACAAUUUCUACAAGACGGUGUCAACCUCAACCAGACACCCCAGUAUAACUAUACAUAUUAGCAUUGAAUUCAAAUGUCAUUUUUUCAUUUCAUUUUUCAUUUUUCUUUCAAGUAGGAUACUCAUGCAUGUUUCAA